rnacentral:rRNA from 1 species
UACGUAGGUGGCAAGCGUUGUCCGGAUUUAUUGGGUUUAAAGGGUGCGUAGGCGGUCCCAUAAGUCAGUGGUGAAAUACUCUAGCUUAACUAGAGGGGUGCCAUUGAUACUGCGGGACUUGAGUGAAGUCGAAGUAGGCGGAAUUGACGGUGUAGCGGUGAAAUGCUUAGAUAUCGUCAAGAACACCGAUAGUGAAGACAGCUUACUAGGCUUAUACUGACGCUGAGGCACGAAAGUGUGGGGAUCAAACAGG